GACGAACGCUGGCGGCGUGCUUAACACAUGCAAGUCGAACGAAGAGCGAUGGAAGCUUGCUUCUAUCAAUCUUAGUGGCGAACGGGUGAGUAACGCGUAAUCAACCUGCCCUUCAGAGGGGGACAACAGUUGGAAACGACUGCUAAUACCGCAUACGAUUUAAUCUCGGCAUCGAGGAUAGAUGAAAGGUGGCCUCUACAUGUAAGCUAUCACUGAAGGAGGGGAUUGCGUCUGAUUAGCUAGUUGGAGGGGUAACGGCCCACCAAGGCGAUGAUCAGUAGCCGGUCUGAGAGGAUGAACGGCCACAUUGGGACUGAGACACGGCCCAGACUCCUACGGGAGGCAGCAGUGGGGAAUCUUCCGCAAUGGACGAAAGUCUGACGGAGCAACGCCGCGUGAGCGAUGACGGCCUUCGGGUUGUAAAGCUCUGUUAAUCGGGACGAAAGGCCUUCUUGCGAAUAGUGAGAAGGAUCGA
rnacentral:rRNA from 1 species